GGGAAUCUUCCGCAAUGGGCGAAAGCCUGACGGAGCAAUGCCGCGUGAGUGAUGAAGGUUUUCGGAUCGUAAAGCUCUGUUGCCAGGGAAGAACGCUUGGGAGAGUAACUGCUCUCAAGGUGACGGUACCUGAGAAGAAAGCCCCGGCUAACUACGUG
rnacentral:rRNA from 1 species